UCAGAUACAAUAAAUAUACUAUCCUUUCCUCGACUAGACUCGAUAUACACAAUACAAAAUCAAUAGAAAUAUAUAGACAAAUUAUAUGAGGGGUGGUGAGUGGGGUAUACAUGCCUUGAUGAAGAAGCAUAGAUUUUCCACCUUUGCACUAAACAUAUUGGCCAUAAAUAUUAGAAACAUUGGAUCAUAUUUUAGGCAAAUUAAAUUGAUCUUCAUGAAUUCCAAAGGUCUUAGCGAUAAUGAAUGACCCAAAAAUUCCCCAUCAUGUGCCUCCUCACAAGGUGUUUUCUCAAAGCACUACAAGAAAAAUGGUUAUUAGAAAAAGGGAAAUCUGGUCCCUGAAAGUACAAUUCUUGUCCUUAAAUGUUAAUAGAGAC
rnacentral:lncRNA from 1 species